rnacentral:rRNA from 1 species
GCUGGCGGCGUGCCUAACACAUGCAAGUCGAACGAGAAAGUGGAGCAAUCCAUGAGUAAAGUGGCGACCGGGUGAGUAACACGUGACUAACCUACCUCCGAGUGGGGAAUAACUCCGGGAAACCGGGGCUAAUACCGCAUAACAUCGCAAGAUCAAAGCAGCAAUGCGCUUGGAGAGGGGGUCGCGGCUGAUUAGCUCGUUGGCGGGGUAACGGCCCACCAAGGCGAAGAUCGGUAUCCGGCCUGAGAGGGCGCACGGACACACUGGAACUGAAACACGGUCCAGACUCCUACGGGAGGCAGCAGUGGGGAAUUUUGCGCAAUGGGGGAAACCCUGACGCAGCAACGCCACGUGGAGGAUGAAGCCCUUUGGGGCGUAAACUCCUUUCGACUCGGACGAUAAUGACGGUACGAGUGGAAGAAGCACCGGCUAACUCUGUGCCAGCAGCCGCGGUAAUACAGAGGGUGCGAGCGUUGUUCGGAAUUAUUGGGCGUAAAGGGCGCGUANGCGGUGCGGUAAGUCACCUGUGAAAUCU